rnacentral:piRNA from 1 species
UGCCUCUCAAUUAGACAUUAUUGUUUGGGA